rnacentral:lncRNA from 1 species
CCAUUGUCCUAUAGCUGUGUGCAACGCGAUUCAUUCUCCAUUGAAAAUCCACAAGACGCAGCACAUGCUUUUUCCUGCAGUUUUUUAAAAACUGAAAAAGUACAACAUGGCUACUGAGAGUAUAAACACUAAAUCGUACUUCAAGAAUACACAUUUGGAUGAGAUUAUUGCAGAAAGUGACCGGAAAAGUAACAUGAGAAGUCCUGCACGCAAGAAAGAUUGGAAGGAGAAGCACACUCUGCCAACCCAGAUGUCCUAGCCGUGUCUGAAUCCUGGCUUAGGAAGUCCACCAAAAACUCUGAAAUCUUCAUCCCAAACUACAACAUUUUCAGACAAGAUAGAACGACCAAAGGGGGCGGUGUUGCAAUCUACUGCAGAGAUACCCUGCAGAGUUCUGUCCUACUAUCCAGAUGACGAACACGAACUCCGCUGCAUUUUGGUCCACUUCUCUCCAUGACGACAGCCCUUACAUAAUUACCCACCACAAAAGGACCAAGCAGCGGAGGAGGAAGGAGCAUCGGGUUGAUGAAUGGACUUGGCAGAAUGAACGACGAUUCUGGGAGGACAAACUAAG